AUGCCACAGCAAGGCAGCAACCAAGUAACAGCAUCCCAAAGUUCAAUGGAGCGAGAUCAGCCGCGCCGGGAUGAUGAGGGCAACAAGCACCCUCCUUCAACUUCAAUGGAGUACCAGCUGAAGGCGUACCUUCUGCUGCUGGCCACGCUGGUGGCGACGGUGACGUACGCGGCGGGGCUCAACCUGCCAGGGGGGGCCUGGCCGGACACGCAGGAUGGGCACCUCGCAGGCGACCCCAUCCUCCCGGACGCGCACUACCGCCGCUACCUGGCCUUCUACUACUGCAACGCCACCGCCUUCGCGUCGUCGCUCGUGGCCUGCCUACUCCUCCUCGUCCUUGACGAGGAGAACACAAAUUGGGCGAUUGUCCUGCGGGCGGUCAUGGUGCUCGACCUGUUCGGCCUCAUGGGGGCCUACGCCGCGGGAAGCUGCCGGGACAAGUUCACGACCAUCUUUGCCUCACUGCUGGUCACUUCCGUCUUCGCCUACAUUAUGCUUGUCUUCCUAAGUUCCGUCUUCGCCUAUGCCUUCCGUGGUAGUGUCUGCACCCAUGUCAUGAAGUGGGGAACCGUCUUCGCCGAUGCCUUCCAGAAGGUUUUUCCCAAGAGUACACAAGGAUCGAAGAAUCCUGAGGAGCAAGGCGAAGAUGAGCACGAGGUGUUGAUGCUGCUCGCGACCUUCGUCGUCACCAUCACAUAUGUGGCCGGACUGGGCCCACCUUGUGGGUUCUGGAGCGACAGCCGGGACGGCCACCGCGUGAGCGACCCGAUCAUGCAGGACCACAACACCAGCCGGUACCAGUCAUUCUUCGUGUGGAAUACCACCUCAUUCGUCGCGUCCCUGCUCAUCAUCGUGCUGCUCAUGGACAAGAAUCUGAGCAGGACCAUCUCUGUAAAGUUUGUCGCGCUCUAUGGGUUCAUCGCGGUGGCGCUCAUCGGCCUAGUGGGGGCCUAUGCUGCAGGAAGCUGCAGGGAAGCUGAUGCUACCAUCUACGUCGUUUCUCUGGCUGGUGCGGUUCUUGCAAGCAUAUUUCUACAGGUGGCUAUUACUAGCGCCAUGAACAAGGAGGGCAGUUGGGGUGAGAAACUACUCACACCCAUACGUCGUUGUACUUCACAAUGGCUGAAGAAUGUAAGAGAGUGGUUUACUCCUACUACUCCUAGCCCUAACAGGGAUACACAACAUGCUGACAAAGUAUUGGAAAGGAAUCGCUCUCUUGUCAUGCUGCUUGCUACUCUCGUGGUGAGCAUCACUUACACAGCUGGACUGGAUCCACCGGGCGGCCUCUGGCCAGAUGACCGGGAUGGGCACAAGGGCGGCGACCCGGUACUCCUCACAACCCAUCCUACUCGGUACAAAGUGUUCUUCUAUAGCAACUCAGCCGCCUUCGUGACAUCCUUAGUGGUCAUCAUAAUGGUUCAGAGUAGAUUCCUGCUAAAGCGCCAUACAUUGCACGCAGCCAUGAUACUGGAUUUGUUUGGCCUCAUAACUGCAUACGCCGCGGGGAGCGGUAGGGAUUUAAGCACCUCCAUCUAUGCUAUCGCCCUCGCGGGUGUUGUCCUUGUGUAUGUGGUGAUCCAUAUAGUGUUUUUCACAUUAGAAGACCAGCAGGUGGACAGCCCCCAGGAUCUCGAAAAGUUGGAUAAGAGGCGUGAGAUGCUGCUGCUGCUUGCCAUCUUGGCUGCAACGCUCACUUACCAAGCUGGGCUCACCCCGCCAGGUGGCUUCUGGUCAGCAGACGACAGCUUUGGUCAUCAUGCCGGGUUUCCGAUCCUCUUUGAUAACUACCCUCGCCGAUACAAUGCAUUCUUCUACUGCAAUGCGGCAAGCUUCAUGGCAUCUGUGACUCUCAUAGUUCUUCUGGUGAACCCCACCCUAUACAAGCCGGGCAUAAAGUGUUAUGCACUGUAUAUGUGCAUGGUGGUGGGCAUGUUUGGUCUCAUGGGUGCCUAUGCCGCUGGAAGCUCCCGCCAUGUGCGAACCUCCAUCUAUGUGUUCACUUUAGUUGCUGCGGUCUUUGCCUUCGUAAUCAUUCAGGUGGUCAUUUUCUGGAUACAAAGUUAUUGCAAAAAAGAGCAGCCAUCUACCUCAUCUGGUCCAGUGAACAAGGACUCUCGUGAGCGUUCUGAAGAAAAGGACCUUCGCGAGUACUUGAUGCUGCUAGGAGUCCUGGCUGCAAGUGUAACAUACCAGACUGGCCUGAAACCACCAGGUGGCCUCUGGCAAGACAACAACAAUGGGCAUACCGCAGGCAACUCGAUCCUCCAUGACAUCGACAGAGGCCGGUUCCGUGCUUUCUUCUACAGCAACUCCACUUCAUUCAUGGCUUCUGUCGUCGUCAUCAUCUUGCUGCUUCCACUGAACACCCACAAGUUGCCACUCUGGCCAAUGCAUACUGCCAUCUUGCUAGACAUGAUGGGUCUCCUUUGCGCCUAUGCGGCUGGUAGCACAAGGGAAUGGGGGACGUCCAGCCAUGUCAUCGCUCUGGUCGUUCCUGUGCUCGCCUAUAUUGCAGCCUACGCAGCGUGGUCAUUGUUCCGCAACAAGGGCCGAUGUGUGGCAACGAAGAUGCCUCAUGACCAACUAUCCCAACAAUAUGUCGCAACGGAGAUGCCGCAUGUGACAUGA
rnacentral:rRNA from 1 species